rnacentral:tRNA from 1 species
GCGCCCGUAGCUCAAUUGGAUAGAGCGUUGGUCUACGGAACCAAAGGUUGUAGGUUCGAGUCCUAUCGGGCGUG